rnacentral:rRNA from 1 species
ACUAACACCUGGUCGGACUCAGCGUGAAUACGGAGUGUGCAAGCGUUAAUGGUAAUUUCGUGGCGUAAGGCUCACGUAGGCGGUUUGUUAAUGCAGAUGUGAAAUCCCCGGGCUCAAACUGGGAACUGCAUCUGAUACUGGCAAGCUUGAGUCUCGUAGAGGGGGGUAGAAUUCCAGGUGUAGCGGUGAAAUGCGUAGAGAUCUGGAGGAAUACUGGUGGCGAAGGCGGCCCCCUGGACGAAGACUGACGCUCAGGUGCGAAAGCGUGGGGAGCAAACAGGAUUAGAUACCCCGGUAGUC